GACUUAAAAAUAUAAUCAUCAGAUGUUCAUCCAAACACCUUCAUCAGUUGUUUAGUGUGCACAGGAAGUAACUCUGGCCUUAAUACACAAGGCAGUCACAUGAGCUCAUGGGAUGAAGUCACAUGACUGCUAAAAUGUAGUCCAUUUGUGUUUGCCAGAGAAGAUGGUAUCCCAGCAGCUUCAGAUGUUGCCCCUCCCCCUGCUCAAGAGGUGGCGCAGGAUGGUAUGUCUGUAAAGCGCCUGGGAAUGGUUUUCAGAACCAUGUUGUAGGCUGAAGACAAAUGAUGUCUCAGCCUACCUCCCCUAUUUAAAGAGGGUCGCUCCACUUUAACAAAUAUGGCCUCCUUGACGCCUCUUUCAAACCACCUAUCCUCUCUGUCCAGGAUAUAGACAGUCAGUUGACUUCAUGCCAU